GACGAACGCUGGCGGCGUGCUUAACACAUGCAAGUCGAACGGAGAGGCCCUGCUUUUGUGGGGUGCUCGAGUGGCGAACGGGUGAGUAACACGUGAGUAACCUGCCCUUGACUUUGGGAUAACUUCAGGAAACUGGGGCUAAUACCGGAUAGGAGCUCCUGCUGCAUGGUGGGGGUUGGAAAGUUUCGGCGGUUGGGGAUGGACUCGCGGCUUAUCAGCUUGUUGGUGGGGUAGUGGCUUACCAAGGCUUUGACGGGUAGCCGGCCUGAGAGGGUGACCGGCCGCAUUGGGACUGAGAUACGGCCCAGACUCCUACGGGAGGCAGCAGUGGGGAAUAUUGCACAAUGGGCGGAAGCCUGAUGCAGCAACGCCGCGUGCGGGAUGACGGCCUUCGGGUUGUAAACCGCUUUCGCCUGUGACGAAGCGUGAGUGACGGUAAUGGGUAAAGAAGCACCGGCUAACUACGUG
rnacentral:rRNA from 1 species